AAUUGUGUGGGCUGCCUUUGUCAAGGAAAUGCAAAGAAGUUGGUCUUCCAAUGCCAGCACUUCCAGGGGAAGAUGAAGAAUCAUGGUUAUAUGCUAUGUCUACAUGGAAAAUUGCGUUGAUAGGUUAUGCUAGUGGAUUGGUGGUUGGGCUAUGUAUUGGAUAUACAGUGUUGAAUGAGUUGGGAAACAAAUGGGUUGAGAAAUUCAAAAAGUCUGGGAAAAGAAAUAGAAGAAGAUGUAGGUGACUUCAUCAGAAUUCUUGUUUCAAAAUUAGCUGCAAUGCAGGACAUGGAGUAUCCAGUUAGGAGGUACGUUAUCUUUGAAGAAAAUGGUACUUGAUCCAAGACAUGGAAUGAACGGUUAUGAGGUACAUGAAGAAUCUAGGCAGUGAUCCUAACAAUGAUCCUAACAGCUGAGGAGAUUUGGUGGCUUGAUGCUGAUGAAAGCCUUAUCUGAUGGACAUUGGACUGAUUGUGUAAAGAGGCACAGAUGCUGCUACUCCCACCCUUUGCUCUUCCAAAGAGACAUUAGCUUUAUAUUUUAUCAAUCAUGUGUUGGGUUUUAGGUCCGGGUGUAAAGGGUGGACCUGUUGGUUCGGGUUUUAGUUCAGCCCGACACUUGUUUUUCUGCUAGUCUAUUUAUCUUUUUAAUGAUAAUUUUAUUAUUUUAAAAAAUACCAUUCAAUUAAACUUUGUAUGUAAUAAUACGAUAAAAAAAAGAAUUAAAAUAUAAUGAAAGAAAUGUCGUCUUAGAA